rnacentral:rRNA from 1 species
CCCGACGUCGCAUGCUCCGGCCCGCCAUGGCGGCCGCGGGAAUUCGAUUAGAGUUUGAUCAUGGCUCAGGACGAACGCUGGCGGCGUGCUUAACACAUGCAAGUCGAACGAUGAAAGCUGGAGCUUGCUCCGGUGGAUUAGUGGCGAACGGGUGAGUAACACGUGAGCAAUCUGCCCUUGACUCUGGGAUAACUGCGGGAAACUGUAGCUAAUACCGGAUACUUCCUCGGUGGGCAUCCACUGGGGAAGAAAGAAUUUCGGUCAAGGAUGAGCUCGCGACCUAUCAGCUAGUUGGUGAGGUAAUGGCUCACCAAGGCGACGACGGGUAGCCGGCCUGAGAGGGUGACCGGCCACACUGGGACUGAGACACGGCCCAGACUCCUACGGGAGGCAGCAGUGGGGAAUAUUGCACAAUGGGCGCAAGCCUGAUGCAGCAACGCCGCGUGAGGGACGAAGGCCUUCGGGUUGUAAACCUCUUUUAGCAGGGAAGAAGCGAAAGUGACGGUACCUGCAGAAAAAGCACCGGCUAACUACGUGCCAGCAGCCGCGGUAAUACGUAGGGUGCAAGCGUUGUCCGGAAUUAUUGGGCGUAAAGAGCUCGUAGGCGGUUUGUCACGUCUGCUGUGAAAUUUCGAGGCUCAACCUCGAACUUGCAGUGGGUACGGGCAGGCUAGAGUGCGGUAGGGGAGAUGGGAAUUCCUGGUGUAGCGGUGGAAUGCGCAGAUAUCAGGAGGAACACCAAUGGCGAAGGCACAUCUCUGGGCCGUAACUGACGCUGAGGAGCGAAAGCAUGGGGAGCAAACAGGAUUAGAUACCCUGGUAGUCCAUGCCGUAAACGGUGGGCGCUAGCUGUGGGCCACAUUCCACGUGGUCCGUGACGAAGUUAACACAUUAAGCACC